rnacentral:lncRNA from 1 species
AGAGCAAGGAGGAGCUGAAAAGCUUUGUUCCUUCAGUUUUCGGUGACCCGGGAGUGAAGCUUGAUGAGUCUGACAGAUGAGCUGCUUGGCAAACUCCUCAGGUCGGACAUCUGUAAACGCUUUGGCGUUUCCCCUGAUGUCCUUUGUCUUCAGCAGUGUAUCCAGGGAUGGCUGGGAGCACAGAGAGCAGCAGGGCCACCAGGGUGUCAGCAGCAGAAGCUUGGGUGGCCUCCCUUCCGGCUUUAUCAGCUGGCCUGGUCCCUUGGGCUACUGCUGAUGUCCCUUCUGAUGCCCAGGGCAAUGAAU